rnacentral:rRNA from 1 species
UACGAAGGGGGCUAGCGUUGCUCGGAAUUAUUGGGCGUAAAGGGCGCGUAGGCGGCCUGGCAAGUGGAAGGUGAAAUCCCUCGGCUUAACCGAGGAACUGCCCUCCAAACUGCUUGGCUUGAGUCCGGGAGAGGUGAGUGGAAUUCCCAGUGUAGCGGUGAAAUGCGUAGAUAUUGGGAGGAACACCAGUGGCGAAGGCGGCUCACUGGACCGGAACUGACGCUGAGGCGCGAAAGCGUGGGGAGCAAACGGGG